rnacentral:rRNA from 1 species
UACGUAGGCAGCAAGCGUUGUUCGGAGUUACUGGGCGUAAAGGGUGCGUAGGCGGCUUUUUAAGUUUGGUGUGAAAUCUCCCGGCUCAACUGGGAGGGUGCGCCGAAUACUGAGAAGCUAGAGUGUGGGAGAGGAAAGUGGAAUUCCUGGUGUAGCGGUGAAAUGCGUAGAUAUCAGGAGGAACACCGGUGGUGUAAACGGCUUUCUGGACCAUAAACUAACGCUGAGGCACGAAAAGCGUGGGUAGCAAACAGG